CCCCUCUCAGGGUCGCACCUGGAGAGUUUCCAGUACUCUACCAAUCUUGGCUACUGGAGGGAGAGUCAAGCUGAGGCUUAUCCAUUCCAUUCCUAGCCUGGCCAGUGGCUAGCGAAUGAAAGGGAAUCCGCAACAAGU